UAGGGAAUCUUCCACAAUGGACGCAAGUCUGAUGGAGCAACGCCGCGUGAGUGAAGAAGGGUUUCGGCUCGUAAAACACUGUUGUAAGAGAAGAAUGACAUUGAGAGUAACUGUUCAAUGUGUGACGGUAUCUUACCAGAAAGGAACGGCUAAAUACGUGCCAA
rnacentral:rRNA from 1 species